rnacentral:rRNA from 1 species
GAUGAACGCUGGCGGCGUGCCUAAUACAUGCAAGUCGAGCGAACAGACGAGGAGCUUGCUCCUCUGACGUUAGCGGCGGACGGGUGAGUAACACGUGGAUAACCUACCUAUAAGACUGGGAUAACUUCGGGAAACCGGAGCUAAUACCGGAUAAUAUAUUGAGCCGCAUGGUUCAAUAGUGAAAGACGGUUUUGCUGUCACUUAUAGAUGGAUCCGCGCCGCAUUAGCUAGUUGGUAAGGUAACGGCUUACCAAGGCGACGAUGCGUAGCCGACCUGAGAGGGUGAUCGGCCACACUGGAACUGAGACACGGUCCAGACUCCUACGGGAGGCAGCAGUAGGGAAUCUUCCGCAAUGGGCGAAAGCCUGACGGAGCAACGCCGCGUGAGUGAUGAAGGUCUUCGGAUCGUAAAACUCUGUUAUGAGGGAAGAACAAAUGUGUAAGUAACUAUGCACGUCUUGACGGUACCUAAUCAGAAAGCCACGGCUAACUACGU